AUUGAACGCUGGCGGCAGGCCUAACACAUGCAAGUCGGGCGGAGCGGCGGACGGGUUAGUAAUGCCUAUGCAUCUGCCUUGUAGUGGGGGAUAACUUCCGGAAACGGGCGCUAAUACCGCAUACUAUCAAAUGAUCCUAGGUCUGAUUAGCUAGUUGGUGGGGUAAAGGCCUACAAAGGAGACGAUCCGUAACUGGUCUGAGAGGAUGAUCGGUCACACUGGAACUGAGACACGGUCCAGAAUCCUACGGGAGGCAGCAGUGGGGAAGAUUGGACAAUGGGCGAAAGCCUGAGCAAGCCAUGCCGCGUGUGUGAAGAAGGUCUUCGGAUUGUAAAGCACUUUAAGUUGGGAGGCGUUACCAACAGAAUAAGCACCGGCUAACUUCGUGCCAGCAGCCGCGGUAAUAC
rnacentral:rRNA from 1 species